UGUGGUUCAAGUGGACACAUAGGUGACUGCUACUGACACAAAGGGCGUUUGUGGAGACUUGCAUGUUCCUGAUUGCAGCUCUGCGAUCUCGAGAUAAAAAGCGCUAGAGAUUAAAUCUUGGUUUAUUUGUUUGAGGGCUCAUUUCAAAUAGCCGCGUGGAAGUAUAUUGUGUUCAAGCUAAGAUUAUAGGUUGCACCUGUGUGCUCAUGGUUUGGUUGCCAAGCAUAAUUCCAUCCUGGUUCCAUUGUUGUCAUUGGCUUGGUUUCUUUGGGUUACAAGUACAGGGCUCAUGGAUGCAAAAGUAUCCCUUCACGUCUAAGAGCUUGGUACUAACGUGACCUCUAGGCAGCCUACAGCAGGAGCAUGAAUUCAAACCACCACUUCAUCCUUACGCACAAUAGAGGUCAAAAAGUGUGUUGGAGCGCAACAAAGCAUGCCAAUCUACAUCGUUUCUAAUAUUGACUUAUAUUCAGUAGUUUCUAAUAGGGUCGCCUUGUAUCAAUAAACAUUGUUAUCUUGUUGCCUUUGCCUUUAUAGAUGGUCGUGAUUGUAUGGGAAAAACUAUGUAUGCUUUAAUAUUAUAGUGCUGCCAUAUCUAA